rnacentral:rRNA from 1 species
ACUGCUCAGUAACACGUGGAUAACCUGCCCUUGGGUCCGGCAUAACCCCGGGAAACUGGGGAUAAUUCCGGAUAACGCAUAUAUGCUGGAAUGCUUUAUGCGUCAAAUGGAUUCGUCUGCCCAAGGAUGGGUCUGCGGCCUAUCAGGUAGUAGUGGGUGUAAUGUACCUACUAGCCAACAACGGGUACGGGUUGUGAGAGCAAGAGCCCGGAGAUGGAUUCUGAGACAUGAAUCCAGGCCCUACGGGGCGCAGCAGGCGCGAAAACUUUACAAUGCGGGAAACCGUGAUGAGGGGACACCGAGUGCCAGCAUCAUAUGCUGGCUGUCCAGGUGUGUAAAAUACACCUGUUAGCAAGGGCCGGGCAAGACCGGUGCCAGCCGCCGCGGUAACACCGGCGGCCCGAGUGGUGAUCGUGAUUAUUGGGUCUAAAGGGUCCGUAGCCGGUUUGGUCAGUCCUCCGGGAAAUCUGAUAGCUCAACUAUUAGGCUUUCGGGGGAUACUGCCAGGCUUGGAACCGGGAGAGGUAAGAGGUACUACAGGGGUAGGAGUGAAAUCUUGUAAUCCCUGUGGGACCACCUGUGGCGAAGGCGUCUUACCAGAACGGGUUCGACGGUGGGGGACGAAAGCUGGGGGCACGAACCGGAUUAGAUACCCGGGUAGUCCCAGCCGUAAACGAUGCUCGCUAGGUGUCAGGCAUGGCGCGACCGUGUCUGGUGCCGCAGGGAAGCCGUGAAGCGAGCCACCUGGGAAGUACGGCCGCAAGGCUGAAACUUAAAGGAAUUGGCGGGGGAGCAC